rnacentral:rRNA from 1 species
UACGUAGGGUGCGAGCGUUAAUCGGAAUUACUGGGCGUAAAGCGUGCGUAGGCGGUUCGUUAUGUCUGCUGUGAAAUCCCCGGGCUCAACCUGGGAAUGGCAGUGGAAACUGGCGGGCUUGAGUGUGGCAGGAGGGGGUGGAAUUCCGCGUGUAGCAGUGAAAUGCGUAGAGAUGCGGAGGAACACCGAUGGCGAAGGCAGCCCCCUGGGCUAACACUGACGCUGAGGCACGAAAGCGUGGGGAGCAAACAGG